GGCAUCUCUAUCUCCAUUUACUUGCAUUUGCCAAAAAAAAAAAUUUGCAGUACAGUAACAACUUCUUUAUUCUAAAGAAAAAAAAAUAAAAAGUAAAUAAUACUUUCGUUUUAAAGUUGAUGAAUAGUUAGCUUAUAAAUGCAACCAAAAGAAGUGUCUGCUUUUUCUGGGCCCAGAAGUAGAAAUCCAGAAACUUUCAACCAGACAAAAAUAUGCUUGAUUUUUGCUCAAUGGCCACUCCAUCAAUUAAUCAAAUGGGAUGAUUUGAGUAUACUCGAGUUUAAUCUAAUUAUGAAGCAAUCCUGAAAUAGAAACAACAGUAACAUUAAGCUAAUUUUAGCAGAUUGAGGUUACUAAUCUUU
rnacentral:misc_RNA from 1 species